rnacentral:lncRNA from 1 species
AGAAGAAGAAAAGGUGUUGGCUUUUGGAGGAUAAUGUGUAUAUUGUGCGGUAUACAAAAGUGGUCUCGUCAGGUUGCAACGAUGCUACCUUGGUUUGUCAUACCUUUGAUUGGACUAUGGGCUCUCUCUCAGCUUCUUCCACCAGCUUUUCGUUUUGAGAUUACUUCUCCCAGGCUUGCUUGUGUAUUUGUGCUCUUGGUUACUUUGUUCUGGUACGAGGUUUUGAUGCCUCAGCUCUCUACUUGGCGGGUACGUAGAAAUGCCCAACUUAGGGAGAGAGAAAGAUUAGAAGCUAUUGAAUUGCAAAAGUUGAAGAAAAAUGCCACAAGGCGUUGUCGGAACUGCUCAAAUCCUUACAGGGACCAAAAUCCUGGUGGUGGCAAAUUUAUGUGUUCGUAUUGUGGACAUGUAUCUAAACGGCCUGUUUUAGACAUGGCCUUGUCUUCCGGAUUAGAGAUUUCUGGUUCAGGGAUUUUGAAGGAUCUUGUUGGAAGAGGUGGAAAGAUGUUGAAUGGGAAGGGAUGGAGUGAGAAUGGAUAUUUGCACAGGCAAGAGUGGUCUGACAACAGCACAUGGACUAGCGGGUCAAGCUAUUGGCGGAAUAAUAGUGGCGAUACGUUUGAAGGAGAUGAAAAUUGUUUGGUGGAGAAAUCAUAUUCUGGUGGUGUUGUUUUUGCUUGCAGGUUGCUGACUUCUUUUUUCAUGAGCAUUUUGUGGCUUUGGAGAAAGAUAUUUAGAUUUAGCUCAUCAGUUGGUGAUUCAUCACUUGACCCUGAGCAGAGGCGGAUGUUGGCUAGGCAGGGUGAGAACGGGACAAGCUGUCAUGAAAGUAGGGUAGAAAAGGCACGUAGAAAAGCAGAGGAGAAAAGACAAGCUAGGCUAGAGAAGGAGCAUUCAGAGGAGGAAGAGAGAAAACAAAGAGAGGAAGUAGCAAGACUAGUAGAGGAACGGAGAAGGCUGAGAGAUGAGAUACUUGAGGCCGAGAAAUGCAGCAAAUUAUCAGUGGCUGCUAAGGAGAAGGACACUAAGGAGGCAGAAAAGAAGCGUCAGGAGAGAAGAAAAGAGAGAGAUAGGGCCUCAAGUAAGAGCAAUUCUGAUGGUGAAGAGGUUGACAAGAGAACAAGAAAGGAAACCGAGCAGAAGCGUGGGCUUUAUAAGAGUGAUCAUCUGGAACAGGAGAGGCACGCACCUGAUAAUUUAAGGGUCCCCAACAUGGAAAGGAGACAUGGACAUGGUUUAGAAAAUAAUGUCACCAGUAACGGUACAAAAUCUGGUGGUAGGUACUUUGAUCGAAUGAAGGGUACAUUUUUGUCUUCUUCAAAGGCUUUUACUGAUAGUCGUUUAUUUGGGAGAGGUGUUAAUACUUCUGCUACAAUUGCAAGAGAAAACAAGCCCAUUGGUUCUGCAGAUAAUUCUCAUACCUAUGCUCAUUCUAGUCAUACUAAUCCUCCUGAAUUCGUGGCUAUGAAAUAUGUCCCUAAUGAAGAGGAAAGGAACACUAAUAAUCCAGUAAGUACCCUUUCCAAAAUGUCUCAUCUAUUUGGGGUCUAUAGUUUCGAGUGACUAGUGUGCUUAAAGAAUAAAUUUCACCUGUACUCAUAUGUUUUCUGUUAUAAAUGAUUUCGUCUUGAUAAAUUUUCAAGUAAAAUCUAAUUCAAUUUACUUGAAACUUAUUUUUGUCAAUGAAAACUGAAUAUUUGAUACUGUUUCCUCAGGUUGUUUCUGAGCCAAAACCGAGUAGAGAACCUAAAAAAUCAUGGCACCAACUGUUUGCUCGUUCAACUCCUGCUCCUGUUUCCUCAAAUGUUAAUACUAUAAGUAGACCUAGCACGAAUCCCCAGCCAAAUGUUCAGAGCUCACAGGUUCCCAGUCAAGUUUCCUCAAUACGAACCUUUGACAAUCCCAUCAGUUUUGGGCUCCCAUCGCCAUUCACCAUACCGGUGUACUCUAGUGGAUCCACUACCAGUAGUUUAGGUUUCUCACCUCCAACAGAACUUGUUUUUCCUCAACCCGGUGAAGAUGAGCGUUUUGAAGAUCCAUGUUAUGUUCCGGAUCCGAUAUCUCUACUGGGACCUGUUUCAGAAUCACUUGAUUUAAGAGCUGCUGGGUAUGAAACUGGCAUAGGACAGGUAAAAUACCAGGCGAUGAAGAAUACACCUUCUUGUGAAGCCAACAAGCCAUCUCCAAUUGAGUCUCCCUUGUCUAGAUCACGGGCUGCGGAUGAAAAACAAGCUAAUGAUGGAAGCUGGCAAAUGUGGAAGAGUCCUCUAGGCCAAAACGGUCUUGGUUUAGUUGGUGGGUCAGCAAACUGGGUUAUACCUUCCGAAAUAAGUAGAUCUAUCGAGGAAAGUGAUAUGCAUCACGCGCCUCAGCAUAGAACAGAAUCAUUAUUUUCAAAAGAGGAUUGCCAGCUUCAUCAAGGUGCUUAUUCACAAAGGAAGGACUAUCUUGAACAUGAUCAGAGAAGUGGCGUUUUCAGCCCCAUUACUGGUCCAACCACUACUGAUCCUUGGUCUCAGAAAAUGUUCUUCCCUGCAUUAUCUGGUAUUGAGAGUCCUUUUUCUACUACCACACAAACAAAAAGCGUCUUGAACAAUGCGGCAGGGUACAGAAGUCCAACGGGAUCUGGUUCAGACAAUCCAUUUGAACAUCCUUCUCCUAAUCACUGGCUCAAGUAAGUCCUGAAAACUUGUUGUUUCUGUAGUUUUCUGAGAUGGCAAGACAAAGUGUAAAUCUUGAAAAGAAGCAGUAAUGAUUUGGUAGAAUUUGUGAAUGUACAGGAAGGUGAAGAGCUCAGGGAAUGGGAGUGGGAAGCAAGUUUUAGCGGCCGGUGAAGUUGAGAACCACCAAAAAGAUGUAGAAUCAUUCUGGUAGUCACAAAAUUAAACAAAAUGAGGUCAAAUUUUUUGCAGAUACACACACGUUGACUGUGUCUGUCUGUCUCUGUCUUUUGUCCUCUCGGGUCUUCAAUGGAGAUAUAGAGAUAAUUUAGAUUACAUUUUAUGCAUUUACCAUUACAGUGAUAACUUAAUAUUCAAAUAAAUAAUAAGAAUUAAAGUAUAUUUCUAAUCUUGAUACGACGAAAGUUGUUUAUCAUCUCGUAUCAAACGUAGAGGCAGUUGAACAAUUUAACAAACGAAAAUGUUCUUAGAUUGGUAUAACCAUUCGUCGAAAACUAUAAAGAUUUACUUUUAUUUAACCAUAAGAUGAUAUCAUCUAUCAAAAAGUGUUAAUUAUAGUUGAUCAUAUAUAAUAAGAACAAAUUAUAAAGGCUAUAUACAAAGGAAAUUUGCGUUAAUUAGGUUAUCUAACCGCAUGCAUCCAAAACAAAUCAUGUAUUUAAAAACUUGAUCACAACUUGAGCAAAAUAUAUGGAGAGCAAAGGGCCAUCGCCAAUAGUUCCACUUGUGCUUGUGGUACUCUUCGGAUGGUUCCUAUGCGGCUCGUACCUUGUCUCACUAUUAGAAGAUGUUGUAUUACCAAUCUUACAAACCGGAACGUUCAUUGUAGGAAUCUUUCUCUUGCUUCUCCUUUUGCUUCUCCAUGUCUUAUCUUCUUCUUGGAUCUAUCCAUGGAUCCCUUCUCUUUUUCUUUUACCAUCUCCGGCUUCCACCACUUCUACUGACUCCGACAGCUUUGGCCUUGGAUCCUUUCUUUUGCUCACACUUUUUUUCAUCUCCUUCUGGUUGUUUCAGUCAGUGUAAUUAAUGUAUAUUCUUCUUGUACACAAAUAGUUUCUCUCAUUGGAAUUUGUAUUUUCCUGAUUGUUCAUGCAAGAUAUUAUUAUACACUUUUUUACAUCUUAUAGGAAAGACCACUUGAUAAAUCAUGCAAGAUUCCAACAUAUAAUGUUUUUCUUUUUGUAAUGUUUAAAUAAUUAAUUACUGCAUCACUCAUAUUUCAUUUUGCUUGUAAAGAAACUGAAUACAACAUAUAUAUAUCAUCUGUGAAAACAAGAUAUAAGAAAAAGAAGUAGGGGUGAAACAAAUCAAACACAAUAAAAAAACCUAGCUAGCUAGCUAGGAUCGGAGUUGCAUAAUAAUGAGUCGAUAGAAGAUGUUAUAUAAGUCUCCGUGCAACCACCUUUCACGACCAACCAGCACGAAGGACAUGAAAUGAAAGCAACAACAUGACACAGAGGGAAGAUCACAUGCAUUGCCUUGGGUUUUAGAUUCAAAUUUUAGGGUCAGAUUUUGAGUACUGUAAUAUGUGUGUUUAAAUAAGGUAAAAACUAUAAGAAAUUUUUUUAAGAAACUUCUUACUUGAUUUAUCAUUUUUUCCAAUAUUUUUGUGAAGAUGUACCAAACAUAUCCAAGAAAAUAAUUUCACCAAUCUGGUAGAUAAUGAAUGAUUCGAUAUAGUAUGUAUGUGCUAUAAAAACUUUUAUCAAUGCUUAAACUUAAAAUAGCUUUGACCAUAUCUAAACUAUGUUAUAAAAUAACUUUUAAAAUAUUCUUUUUUUAAAAAAAUUCUUAAAAUGUUUUAUAUGUUAUUUGAACAUUUCUUUGAAAUGCCCAUUAUUAGUCCAUUAGCCCAACAAACCGUUGGAUAUAUGGGUGGGGCGGCGUUUAAGAGGCACUGACUUGACCCGACUACCCACCCGGUUCGUUCCUUGGUUCCGGUUUUGCCUUGUAAACAUUUUCUUUCGUUUUUCUUCAUCAUCUUCUUCUCAAAUCUUUCGCGUUUACGGUUUCUUCGUUAGCAGGAUUCGAACGAAAGCCACGAGACUACGUGAUUCAACCCGAAUACGAUCCGAAUCAGGAUUCUCCUUCCAUCAUCUUCCAUCCCCAAUUUCAAAGCUCUUCUCUUUUUGGCUGAUGCUUUGCUUCAAUGGCCUCUCUAUCGGUAAGUCUCCUCUUACCUUCUCUCGAUUAAUUCACAUUGCACAACAAGUCAAUCUGAACUCUGCGUACAAGGGUUCAUCGAUUUCUAUUUGUAGAACGUUGUGGUUCGUCUAAUUUGAUUCCAUUGUUGUUGCUACAUAGGUAUGUUGCUAUAACAAUCUUUAACUACAGUUGCUUAGAGCUGGAGACUUGUUAACUUCGAUGGUGUAUAACCUUAAAAUAAGAUUAGGGUUUGGGUUUUCUGCUGCGACUACAUCCUCUGGGUUGAAAUUUCUCUGAGUUUAGGGUUUUCUGAUACAUUUGGUUUGAUAAGAAGAAGAAAAGGUGUUGCCUUUUGGAGGAUAAUGUGUAUAUUGUGCGUUAUACAAAAGUGGUCUCGUCAGGUUGCAACGAUGCUACCUUGGUUUGUCAUACCUUUGAUUGGACUAUGGGCUCUCUCUCAGCUUCUUCCACCAGCUUUUCGUUUUGAGAUUACUUCUCCCAGGCUUGCUUGUGUAUUUGUGCUCUUGGUUACUUUGUUCUGGUACGAGGUUUUGAUG